rnacentral:ribozyme from 1 species
GACAGAACAAGACAACAAAUAAAAAAAAAAAAAGGAAAAAGGCACAUACUCCACUGAGAGGGCAAUUAAACUUCCUUUAAAUACACUGUAUGGUUUGAUUAUUUUUCCCUUUUUUGUCAUUAUUCUUCUUUAUUCC